AUGGAUAAAGCCCUCAAUAAAUGUUUGCCAGAUGAAUGACUUGCCCAAGGUCACACUGCUAAUAUAUGGCAGAACCGGGACCAGAACCAAGACCUCCGACUCCCCAGAUCCCAUAUCCUUGCUGUUCUCCUGGGAUGUUUUCUGGAAGAAAAUGAGCUGUGGGCCUAAAAAGAAGCCAAUCAAGCAUUUGGCAGGUCCAUCUCACGGUGGGUCCAGUGGAUCCCCAAAGACAUCCUGUGAUUAUUUCCCCAGUUCCAGAAUGCAUAAUUGAAAUGGAUACACUCAGCAGCUGGCAGAUCCCCACAUUGGUUCCCUGACUUGUGGAGGAAGGGCUAUUCUGGUGGGAAAGGCCAAGUGGAAGACACUAGAACUGCCUCUACCUAGGAAAAGAGCUCAGAUUGGAAAUAUACCAUUAGCUGUCCUGGGCCUCAAGUUUGCCAACCUCAGAUCUUGGGACUUCUCUACCUCCAUAAUCAUUAAACUUUUUUUUUCAGUGCCCUGGAUGUGCCACAUUCCCUCACAACUCCGAACCUUGAAAGUGCUGUUCCUUCAGCUUGGAAGUCUUCCUCACUCCUGACCCGCACCCCAUCACCUGGCUAACUCCUAUUUACAUCAGGCUCAGCUCAGAGAGACGGGGUUUCACCGUGUUAGCCAGGAUGGUCUCGACCUCCAGACCUCGUGAUCCGCCUGCCUCAGCCUCCCAAAGUGCUGGAAUUACAGGCGUGAGCCACCACGCCCGGCCGGAGCCAGAGUUCUUAACUAUGGAAGAGGGAAGAUAUAAUUAUGGGUGGGUUAGAUUGGAACUGGAUGUGUUAGUAUGAACUAAUGAUUUCUAAAAUCCAAACACACAUACACCACAACCACCACCAUUACCACUGCUGUGAAGACAUGGAACACCUGCGUCAUAAUCUCUCCACCCCGGGCAACCUCUGAUUUGCUUUCUGUAUCUUUUUUCUCUGGUUGUUGUUUUGUUUUGUUUUUGGUUUUUUUUUGAAGACGGAGUCUUGCACUGUUGCCUGGGCUGGAGUGCAGUGGCACCAUAUUGGCUCACUGCAAGCUCUGCCUCCCAGGUUCACGCCAUUCUCCUGCCUCAGCCUCCCGAGUAGCUGGGAUUACAGUUACCCGCCACCACACCCAGCUAAUUUUUUGUAUUUUUAGUACAGAUGGGGUUUCACUGUGUUGGCCAAGCUGGUCUCAAACUCCUGACCUCAUGAUCCACCCACUUUGGCCUCCCAUAGUGCUGGGAUGACAGGCAUAAGCCACUGUGCCCGGCCUCUCUGGUUGUUUUAAAGACUUUGUUUGUAUCAUUGGUUUUCAGCAAUUUGACUGCCUUCGUGUAGUUUUCUUUGUAUUUAUUCUGUUACGGGAAUGGUUAAAUUUCUUGACUCUACGGGUUGAAAUUGGAAGGUUUUUCAACUAUUACUUCAUCAAAUAUUUUUUUCUGCCUCUUGCCUCUUGCCAUAUACAUGUACUCCCAUUACAUGUAUAUCAGACCUUGAGAUGUCCCACAGAUCACUGAGACUUUGCUCCUUCUUUUUCUUUGUGUGCUGCCUUUUGGAUAGUUUCUAUGGCUAUGUCUUCAAGUUCCUUUGCAGUACCUAAUUUUUCAUCUCAGAUGUAUUUUUUCAGUUCUAAAAGUUCCAUUUGUUUCCUUUUUAUAGUUUCUAUUUCUCUCUUCAUUAUAUUUAUGUUUUCCUUUAAAUCUUUGAGCAUACUUACAAUAGCUGCUUUAAGUUUCUUGCCUACUAAUUGCAUCAUCUCUCUCAGUACAUUUUUCCUGCUUUUUCGGAUGUCAGGAAACUUUUUAGACACUGGAGCCCAGCUCUCCCACUAUACUAUGAGGUUGUGGAAAACUGCAGUUUCAAUGACCACUGCAAUCUCUUAAUACACUCAUUCCAAGAGUGUUCUCCUGGGCAGUGCAACCCCAACAGCAGAGAGCUAUGUAGCCCCUGCUGCAGCAGAGCCAGGGCCCCAAUGCCUGCUGAGAGCUGGGACAGGACCCCGUGGUGCUGCAGAGAGGUCGGGCCGAACCCAAGGGGUACUGCCCUCUAACACUUGGAAAGCUGAGCACCCCUUGCUCCUAGGAGUCCAACUCACCAGUGAGUUCUAAUGUCUCAUUGACCUCAGUGUGCAUCUCUCAGUAUGCCUUGCUAAGUUUAGUCUUACCCUUGGUGCUGAUACUGCUCCUGACCUUGCCAGUGAAGUGGUCCUCCUUCUCUCUCUGCUGAGGGACCUCUGCUGGCCCAAGGGAAAAGCCAGCCCCCUUCCCUGUCCUGGCUUGGUUGGCAGAGGACCCGACAUCCACUCCCUCUCCUCCUCACGCUUGUCCUCCCCAGGCGCCUUGGAGGCAUUGGAGACAGGAUGCAGGGAAGGAGCCCCCUCUGCUUCCACUACUGAGCAGGGAUUAGUCCAGAAGGUACCCAGGAGGGGAAAGGUGGACUGAAAGACUGCUUUUCCUCCCCUUUAACCCUCCCUUCUGUCUCUACAAAAAUCAAAUCAAAAUGGAUUAAUGACUUAAAUCUAAGACCUCAAACUAUAAAACUACUAAAAGAAAACAUUGGGGAAACUCUCCAGGACAUUGGUUGGGGAAGAUAUUUCUUGAGUAAUACCCCGCAAGCACAGACAACCAAAGCAAAAAUGGACAAAUGGGAUCACGUCAAGUUAACAAGCUUCUGCACAGCAAAGGAAACAACCAACAAAGUGAAGAGACAACCUACAGAACGGGAGAAAAUAUUUGCAAAUUACCCAUCUGACAAAGGAUUAACAAUCAGAAUAUAGAAGGAGCUCAAACAACUCUACAGGAAAAUAAAUCUAAUACUCCAAUAAAAAAUGCCCAAAAGACUUGAAUGGACAUUUCUCAAAAGAAGUCAUAAAUGGCAAACAGGUAUAUGAAAAGGUGCUCAACAUCACAGAUAAUCAAAGAAAUGCAGAUCAAAACCACAGUGAGAUAUCAUCUCACCCCAGUCAAAAUGGGUUAUAUACAAAAGACAGGCAAUAAUAAAUGCUGGUGAGGAUGUGGAGAAAAGAGAAUCCAUGUACAGUGUUGGUGGGAAUGUAAAUUAGUACAAGCACUCUGAAGGACAGUUUGGAGGUUCUCC